GAUGAACGCUGGCGGCGUGCUUAACACAUGCAAGUCGAACGAAGCACCUUGAUUCGAUUCUUCGGAUGAAGAUCUUGAUGACUGAGUGGCGGACGGGUGAGUAACGCUUGAGUAACCUGCCUCAUCCAGGGGGAUAACAGUUAGAAAUGACUGCUAAUACGCCAUAAGACCACAGCACCGCAUGGUGCAGGGUUGAAGACUCCGGUGGGAUGAGAUGGACCCGCGUCUGAUUAGGUAGUUGGUGGGGUAACGGCCUACCAAGCCGACGAUCAGUAGCCGAGCUGAGAGCGUGACCGGCCACAUUGGGACUGAGACACGGCCCAAACUCCUACGGGAGGGAGGAGUGGGGAAUAUUGCACAAUGGAGGAAAAUCUGAUGACGCGACGCCGCGUGAGAGAUGAAGUAUUUCGGUAUGUAAAGCUCUAUCAGAAGGGAAGAAAAUGACGGUACCUGACAAAGAAGCACCGGCUAAAUACGUG
rnacentral:rRNA from 1 species